rnacentral:rRNA from 1 species
UACGAAGGGGGCUAGCGUUGUUCGGAAUCACUGGGCGUAAAGGGCGCGUAGGCGGCCGAUCAAGUCGGGGGUGAAAGCCUGUGGCUCAACCACAGAAUUGCCUUCGAUACUGUUUGGCUUGAGACCGGAAGAGGUUAGUGGAACUGCGAGUGUAGAGGUGAAAUUCGUAGAUAUUCGCAAGAACACCAGUGGCGAAGGCGGCUGACUGGUCCGGUUCUGACGCUGAGGCGCGAAAGCGUGGGGAGCAAACGGG